UUGAAUGGCCGCGAUAUUUUGAUCGUGCUAAGGUAGCAUAAUCAUUAGUUUUUUAAUUGAAAGCUAGAAUGAAGGGUUGGAUGAAAAAUUUUCUGUCUCUAAUUAAUUUUAUUAGAAUUUUAUUUUUAAGUUAAAAAGCUUAAAUUUAAUUAAAAGACGAGAAGACCCUAUAGAGUUUAAUAUAAUAAUUUAUUUAUAUAUUUAGGAUUUAGGUUAUAAAUUAAUAUUUAUAUUUAAUUGGGGUGAUUAAAAAAUUUAAUAAACUUUAAUUUUAUAUGAAUAUUAAUUAAUAAUUGUAUGAUCCAAAUUUUUUGAUUAUAAGUAAAAAUUACCUUAGGGAUAACAGCGUAAUCUUAUUAGAGAGUU
rnacentral:rRNA from 1 species